GAUGAACGCUGGCGGCGUGCUUAACACAUGCAAGUCGAACGGAAAGGCUCCUGCUUGCCUGGGUACUCGAGUGGCGAACGGGUGAGUAACACGUGGGUGAUCUGCCCUGCACUUCGGGAUAAGCCUGGGAAACUGGGUCUAAUACCGGAUAGGACCACAUUUUGGAUGGUGUGGUGGAAAGUUUUUCGGUGUGGGAUGAGCUCGCGGCCUAUCAGCUUGUUGGUGGGGUAAUGGCCUACCAAGGCGUCGACGGGUAGCCGGCCUGAGAGGGUGUACGGCCACAUUGGGACUGAGAUACGGCCCAGACUCCUACGGGAGGCAGCAGUGGGGAAUAUUGCACAAUGGGCGCAAGCCUGAUGCAGCGACGCCGCGUGGGGGAUGACGGCCUUCGGGUUGUAAACUCCUUUCGCUAGGGACGAAGCGCAAGUGACGGUACCUGGAGAAGAAGCACCGGCUAACUACGUG
rnacentral:rRNA from 1 species